UACAGAGACUGCAAGCGUUAUUCGGAUUCACUGGGCGUAGAGGGUGCGCAGGCGGCCGAGUGUGUGAGGCGUGAAAGCCCGGGGCUUAACCCCGGAAUUGCACCUCAAACUACACGGCUAGAGCAUUGGAGAGGGUAGCAGAAUUCAUGGUGUAGCAGUGAAAUGCGUAGAUAUCAUGAGGAAUACCAGAGGCGAAGGCGGCUACCUGGACAAUUGCUGACGCUCAGGCACGAAAGCGUGGGGAGCAAAAGGG
rnacentral:rRNA from 1 species